rnacentral:rRNA from 1 species
GAUGAACGCUGGCGGCGUGCAUAACACAUUCAAGUCGAACGGGGCAGCGAUGCCUAGUGGCGGACGGGUGAGUAACGCGUGAGCAACCUGCCUGUGUGAGGGGGACAACAGCCGGAAACAGCUGCUAAUACCGCAUGAAGUAUUCGAAUCGCAUGGUUUGGAUACCAAAGAUUUAUCGCACACAGAUGGGCUCGCGUCCGAUUAGCUAGAUGGUGAGGUAACGGCUCACCAUGGCGACGAUCGGUAGCCGGACUGAGAGGUUGAACGGCCACAUUGGAACUGAGAUACGGUCCAGACUCCUACGGGAGGCAGCAGUGGGGAAUAUUGGGCAAUGGGCGAAAGCCUGACCCAGCGACGCCGCGUGAAGGAAGACGGUCUUCGGAUUGUAAACUUCAAACAACAGGGAAGAAACAAAUGACUGUACCUGUUAGGAAGCCACGGCUAACUACGUGCCAGCAGCCGCGGUAAUAC